rnacentral:rRNA from 1 species
AUUGAACGCUGGCGGCGUGCCUAACACAUGCAAGUGGAGCGGUAACAGGUGUAGCAAUACAUGCUGACGAGCGGCGAACGGGUGAGUAAUGCUUCGGAAUCUACCCAAUGGUGGGGAAUAACCAGCCGAAAGGUUGGCUAAUACCGCAUACGUCCUACGGGAGAAAGCAGGGGAUCGUAAGACCUUGCGCCAAUGGAUGAGCCGAAGUCGGAUUAGCUAGUUGGUAGGGUAACGGCCUACCAAGGCGACGAUCCGUAGCUGAUCUGAGAGGAUGAUCAGCCACACUGGGACUGAGACACGGCCCAGACUCCUACGGGAGGCAGCAGUGGGGAAUCUUGGACAAUGGGCGCAAGCCUGAUCCAGCCAUGCCGCGUGAGUGAAGAAGGCCUUAGGGUUGUAAAGCUCUUUACCUAGGGACGAUAAUGACGGUACCUGGAGAAUAAG